rnacentral:rRNA from 1 species
UACGGGGGGAGCAAGCGUUGUCCGGAAUCAUUGGGCGUAAAGCGCGCGUAGGCGGCCCGGUAAGUCCGCUGUGAAAGUCAAAGGCUCAACCUUUGAAUGUCAGCGGAUACUGCCGGGCUAGAGUCCGGAAGAGGCGAGUGGAACUCCUGGUGUAGCGGUGGAAUGCGCAGAUAUCAGGAAGAACACCAACGGCGAAGGCAGCUCGCUGGGACGGAACUGACGCUAAGGCGCGAAAGCGUGGGGAGCGAACAGG